GGGUCAGUAGGUUGGUCGUGCCACAGGUACGUACUGGUCUCACUGAUUCCUCCUUCCUGAAGAACCGUAAUGCCAUUAAUUUGGUGUUGCGGGGAAACAGGACUGUUACUCUGAAAAAAUUAGAGUGUUUAAAGCAAGCUAACGCUUGAAUACAUUAGCAUGGAAUAAUGAAAUAGGACGAUCGAUCCUAUUUUGUUGGUUUCUAGGAUUGACGUA
rnacentral:rRNA from 1 species